rnacentral:rRNA from 1 species
AUGGAGACUACUGCGGCCGUUCGAAACACUAGCAGGCGACGUGCUAACCAGCUGCAGGUCACGGUCUCCUUGAGUUGCAGGUCGCGCCCUUUACCCAUCAGCGUCGUCACCUGCGCCCUAGUUCAUAUUCUACAGCUGAAAUAUUAUUGUAACAGUCUUCUUCAACCCAUUGUUUUUAUCCAAAAGGUUCAGAGUUCUAUUGGGUUAGAAGCCACGGGAGAGCAAUUAAAUUUGUGUUUGCUUUUCAGUAAAUAUUCUAGGGCUGAAUGUUAUCGUAACAGUCUUGUUCAAACCGUGGUUUUUCUUCAGAAGGUUCAGAGUUCAAUCUGGUUAGAAACACGUACAGUUUGUCAGCUUGUUUCAGGUCGUCUAAAUCUGGAGUUCUGGACUGUUUGA